GGGGAGCAGUGAGCACGUUGCAUGCAUUUGGAGAGAAACAGACGCUAUCGACCCGAGAGUAAAAGAGAGGAGGCAUCGUGGUGUGGGGAGCAUUUCAGUUUUUAUCGUGGAGGUCGACUACUCAUGGUCCUGAUAUACACGUCUACUAAACAAAACCCUGGUUUCUACUGCAGUUAUCUGUAGACAUGGCUGGCAGUUAUCUGUAGACAUGGCUGGCAGAUCGGAUGCCAACACCCCUCAUAGCGGAGAGCCUGAUGAUGAACUGGGGGAACUUGAUAACAUCUUGGCUGAUUUGCAAGAUGAAUCAGAGAAAUAUGGGGCUGGUACUAAAGCCAAGAGGAAGAAGCCUGAGAAACUUGUGAGGUGGAAGAAAAGGGACCAGUACGGACGUCUGAUUGCUGAGACUCAACAAUCUUCAGGAGGAGCUGGUCCCUCUUCCCGGCCUAAGGACACCUGUCCAGUGCAUAUGGUCCCAUGUCCUGAUGAUGCUUCAAACUAUGCACCGUUACAAGUGCAGUUACAAGAAACACACAAGGCACUUGACACACAGCUUCAGUUGCUGCAAGAAAGCCUUGAAGAUGAUCCUUUGGCCUGUUCAGAAGGAAGAGAGAUGUUGACUCGAACCUGGGAUAUGCGGCAAACACACUCGGAAGAGAAAUGGGAGAAUGCCAGGCCUAACCUUUUGGAGUCGAUGUUGUCAGCAGAGUGGACACUGGAUCAGUCCUGUGACCACUGCCACACAAAACGGGCUGUGAUUAGAUGUCGAGACUGCCUGCCCAAACACCUUUUCUGCAGUGACUGUGAUUUGGCUGUGCAUCGAAACUACGUUUUGCACAUUAGGGACUCAGUUGUAGAAGGUUUUUACAAGGCACUUCCACCUACAUGUCGUAUUGUGCAAGACGGCAGUGGAGCACAUGAAAUAUCUGAGAAAGCAUGUCUUCUACCCAUUGCUUCGCCACACAAUCUUUGCAAUUGUGACACACAAGACAUUGCAAUAAACGCUGGACGAGCCAUCAUUCUUGUGGAGAUAAAUGGUCGAUAUGAUCUUUCGCUUCCCUUGGUGACCUGCAAAUCCUGCUUAAAAACAUGGACACCUGGAUUAAAAGACCUUCAGUCCAAUGGUUACUGGCCAGGCAAUGUGGAUUUUCAGACUGUUUAUUCCACUGAUGUGUUUCACACAUUUGAGGAAUUUAAAGUCAGCGCACCGGGGUUAUCUCGACAAGCAUUUGUGAAAAUGCUUGUCGAUCGCACCAGCAACUUUGGAAGGGCAGGAAGAAUAUCUGGAGAUAGUUUCCAGCGUAGUUUCCUGGAGUGGACCUACUGCAGACAUGAGAAGGAAAAACUGUUGGCUGUUGACCAUUUCUCUUGUCCAGCCUGCAUGGAAGACAUUGCAGCAAUUUCUGUUGAUGGAAACCGCAAGAUGUACCGCUUCAAUCGGACUAAAGGGGCUGAUGAAUCUGGUUACUUUGAUGGUGCUUUUUUUUCAAAAGACAAGGAGGUUGCAGAAUUUGUGGAGGGUAUCCGGAGUCGAAUCAGACCUGUGAGUGAUGCUAUUCUUCAAUGA
rnacentral:lncRNA from 1 species